AGUGAACGCUGGCGGUAGGCCUAACACAUGCAAGUCGAACGGCAGCACAGUAAGAGCUUGCUCUUACGGGUGGCGAGUGGCGGACGGGUGAGGAAUACAUCGGAAUCUACUUUUUCGUGGGGGAUAACGUAGGGAAACUUACGCUAAUACCGCAUACGACCUACGGGUGAAAGCAGGGGAUCUUCGGACCUUGCGCGAUUGAAUGAGCCUGUGUCGGAUUAGCUGGUUGGCGGGGUAAAGGCCCACCAAGGCGACGCUCCGUAGCUGGGCUGAGAGGGUGAGCCGGCCAGAGAGGAUGGAGGGCCGGACCGGGACUCCGAGGGGGGCCAGAGUCGGGGAUGAUGGAGCAGUGGGGAAAAGCGGACACUGGCAUACCGCGUGAGGGAAGAAGGCCUUCGGGUUGUAGAGCCCUUUUGUGGGGAAAGAAAAGCAGGAGGUGAAUACCCCGCUGUUCUGACGGUACCCAAAGAAUAAGCACCGGCUAACUUCGUG
rnacentral:rRNA from 1 species